AGUGAACGCUGGCGGUAGGCCUAACACAUGCAAGUCGAACGGCAGCACAGUAAGAGCUUGCUCUUACUGGUGGCGAGUGGCGGACGGGUGAGGAAUACAUCGGAAUCUACUUUUUCGUGGGGGAUAACGUAGGGAAACUUACGCUAAUACCGCAUACUACCUACGGGUGAAAGCGGGGGAUCUUCGGACCUUUCGCGAUUGUAUGAGCCGAUGUCGGAUUAGCUAGUUGGCGGGGUAAAGGCCCACCAAGGCGACGAUCCGUAGCUGGUCUGAGAGGAUGAUCAGCCACACUGGAACUGAGACACGGUCCAGACUCCUACGGGAGGCAGCAGUGGGGAAUAUUGGACAAUGGGCGCAAGCCUGAUCCAGCAAUACCGCGUGAGUGAAGAAGGCCUUCGGGUUGUAAAGCCCUUUUGUUGGGAAAGAAAAGCAGCAGGUUAAUACCCCGCUGUUCUGACGGUACCCAAAGAAUAAGCACCGGCUAACUUCGUG
rnacentral:rRNA from 1 species